GGUUGCGAUCAUACCAGCAUUAAUGCACCGGAUCCCAUCAGAACUCCGCAGUUAAGCGUGCUUGGGCGAGAGUAGUACUAGGAUAGGUGACCCCCUGGGAAGUCCUCGUGUUGAAACCC
rnacentral:rRNA from 1 species